UACGGAGGGGGCAAGCGUUAUUCGGAAUUAUUGGGCGUAAAGGGCGCGUAGGCGGCUAGAUGUGUCAAAGGUGAAAUCCCUCGGCUCAACUGAGGAACUGCCUUUGAAACUGUCUGGCUUGAGGCCGGGAGAGGGUAGCGGAAUUCCCAGUGUAGCGGUGAAAUGCGUAGAUAUUGGGAGGAACACCAGUGGCGAAGGCGGCUACCUGGACCGGUGCUGACGCUGAGGCGCGAAAGCGUGGGUAGCAAACAGG
rnacentral:rRNA from 1 species